GAUGAACGCUAGCUACAGGCUUAACACAUGCAAGUCGAGGGGCAGCAUGGAAGAAGCUUGCUUCUCCUGAUGGCGACCGGCGCACGGGUGCGUAACGCGUAUCAAACCUGCCUCAUACUCGGGGAUAGCCUUGCGAAAGUAAGAUUAAUACCCGAUGUUGUUAUGUUACCGCAUGGUGAUAUAACCAAAGAUUUAUCGGUAUGAGAUGGUGAUGCGUCCGAUUAGGUAGUAGGCGGGGUAACGGCCCACCUAGCCAUCGAUCGGUAGGGGUUUGAGAGGAAGGUCCCCCACACUGGAACUGAGACACGGUCCAGACUCCUACGGGAGGCAGCAGUGAGGAAUAUUGGUCAAUGGACGGAAGUCUGAACCAGCCAAGUAGCGUGCAGGAUGACGGCCCUCUGGGUUGUAAACUGCUUUUAGUUGGGAAUAAAAAAGAGGACGUGUCCUCUAUUUGUAU
rnacentral:rRNA from 2 species